UACGUAGGGGCGAGCGUUGUCCGGAAUUACUGGGCGUAAGAGCGCGUAGGCGGUCCGUACAUCCCUCGUGAAAGCCGCUGCUCAACUAGCGGAGCCAGGGAGAUGGCGGGUCUAGAGGGUGGUAGAGGCAGGCGGAAGUCCGAAGUAGUGGUGAAAUGCGUAGAGAUCGGGAGGAACAUCCGUGGCGAAGGGCGGCCUGACU
rnacentral:rRNA from 1 species